GUUGUAAAAAGCCACAGCUGUCGUGAGGCAGUGUCGGAAAGCUGCGGGUCUCCGAAGAGGAGAUAGCCGGGUCGCCAAC
rnacentral:ncRNA from 1 species